GGUGCUAAGAAAUCCUCUGGGGCUGAGAGCGGGCAGACAGGUGGGAGGCAGGAGCGAGAGAUGAACAAUUGAG